AUCCUGGCUCAGGAUGAACGCUAGCGGCAGGCUUAACACAUGCAAGUCGAGGGGCAUCGGGAGUAGCAAUACUGCCGGCGACCGGCGCAAGGGUGCGUAACGCGUGAGCAACAUGCCCGUAUCAGGGGGAUAAUCCAUGGAAACGUGGUCUAAUACCCCAUAGUAAUUAUGUAAGGCAUCUUAUAUAAUUUAAAGCUUUGGUGGAUACGGAUUGGCUCGCGUGACAUUAGCUGGAUGGUAAGGUAACGGCUUACCAUGGCUACGAUGUCUAGGGGUUCUGAGAGGAAGGUCCCCCACACUGGAACUGAGACACGGUCCAGACUCCUACGGGAGGCAGCAGUGAGGAAUAUUGGACAAUGGAUGGAAAUCUGAUCCAGCCAUGCCGCGUGCAAGGAAGACGGCCCUAUGGGUUGUAAACUGCUUUUGUAUGGGAGCAAUAAGGGCUACGUGUAGUCCGAUGAGAGUACCAUACGAAUAAGCACCGGCUAACUCCGUGCCAGCAGCGGC
rnacentral:rRNA from 1 species